rnacentral:lncRNA from 1 species
UGCGUCAAAAACUUCGUGUAGAAAAAGAGUGUUUGUAAACAGUACAUUAAUUUCUGGACCGAUGGCCGGUCUAGCUAUGAAAAUACGGACUGUCAAACAGAAAACAGCCCAUAAAACAUGUAAAAAAUAAUCUUGAUGCUCUUACAAACCACCUUUGAAGGCUAAAUUAGCACUCAUCUGUCUAAAAAUGAAUUUUAUUUCACAAUAACUUUCCUAUUUGAAAAAUCCACAGGGGCCAUAAUGCAGGGGCCAUAAUGCGAAACUAAACUCCUAACUGUGUAUUGCUACCUUA